rnacentral:tRNA from 1 species
GGCGGAGUGCCCCAGUGGUUAGGGAUACUUGACAUCAGAUGGUUUAGGCCGCGCAGGUUCAAGUCCUGUCUCCGUCG